UACGAAGGGGGCUAGCGUUGCUCGGAAUCACUGGGCGUAAAGGGUGCGUAGGCGGGUCUUUAAGUCAGGGGUGAAAUCCUGGAGCUCAACUCCAGAACUGCCUUUGAUACUGAAGAUCUUGAGUUCGGGAGAGGUGAGUGGAACUGCGAGUGUAGAGGUGAAAUUCGUAGAUAUUCGCAAGAACACCAGUGGCGAAGGCGGCUCACUGGCCCGAUACGUGACCGCUG
rnacentral:rRNA from 1 species